UUAUUCAGAGAUUUAAUAUGUUGGAUAACCGGAAAUAAUUAAAUCUCUACAAUCGGGGAUAGGGCCGCUCUCUGUAGGACUGGGAAAAUAUGUGCCAGCACUAGCGGUCACACAUAUGGUCCAGGCCAUUCUCUUUCAAGAGACACAAGGGGUUCAAAUAGGGGGCUAAGGGUUAAAUUUGUAACCCCUAAUGAUACCUUCUUAGAAUUAAAGUGAUAAACUUAUAGAAUAAACUAGGAUUAGAGACCCUAUUAUUUUAACCUUAAAGAUUACUCUUAGAAAGUAACAGAUAGGGCCUCGAAACCAAGGUCGAAUGGCAGUUAAAUAUCUACUCAGAGGCCCAUGCUGCUAAUCGAUGCUCCACGAAGAUCUUACCUUUUCUUAAAUCUUGUACACCGCUGUCGGAAGGUGAUAAUCCCCCAACUCACCGCAACCCGUGUUAGGGGAUAAGUCAAGUCAAGGUGCAGCCCAUGAAAAGGGACCAGUGUGAGUUAUAAUUUUACUACUUACCCUUUGAAAUGGGGUAUAAGUUCCAAAUUUGGUAGUAAUUCUUAAAUUUUAUUAAGAAAUUUUGAACAAGUAAUAUUUAGUGUACAGAUCGCCCGUCACUCCGUUCAUAAACGGAUAAGUCGUAACACAGUUGUCCUACUGGAAAGUGGGGCAAGUGUUACUGCU
rnacentral:ncRNA from 1 species